rnacentral:rRNA from 1 species
UUAAGUCAGAUGUGAAAGACCCGGGGCGUUAACCUCGGAAUUGCAUUUGAAACUAGGCAGGCUAGAGUCUUGUAGAGGGGGGUAGGAAGUUUCAGGUGUAGCGGUGAAAUGCGUAGAGAUCUGAAGGAAUACCAGUGGCGAAGGCGGCCCCCUCGGACAAAGACUGACGCUCAGAUGCGAAAGCGUGGGGAGCAAACAGGAUUAGAUACCCUGGUAG